CAGACUUUUCUCUUUCAGAUUUGCUAGACCCAUUCUCCAAGGAGGAAAGCUUUUCGGCAGCUGCUUUCUUUGCUUCUAGCUUCCUUUGCCGACACGUCUUAACGGGCUCUGCCAACAUCCUUACUUUUCGGCGAAAGGAGAAUGUCUCUCAGAUACGUGGACAGAUAACCACAGCUCGUGGGCACACGGCCACAGUUUCCUCCGUGAGGCUCCAAACAUUGUCUGAUCAGCUCCAAUUUCAGUACCAGGAUGAUUCAAACAUACAUUUUGACUGGCAGGCACCUAUAUGAACCAACCAUAUAGGUUGCAACUAAAUCCCUUCUGAGAGUUGCCAGCUAAUCUUUCUUCUCAGCUCCUUACUGAUAGAAAUAUCCUCAGAUCAUGACCUCAACUGACUUGUGCUCAAUCAUUUACCAGGAUGAGACUUAAGAAAGCAGAAGUCAGAUACCUGGGAGCUUGUAGAUAGCUCACUGGGUUGUUCCUGGCGUGCUGCCACAGCCUCCAUCCUGCUGGCACCCUUCUGCCACCGCUAGAUGACACAGAGGUCUAAAUUGCUCCCAGACUUGUAGCACUUUUGAGACAGGAGUUUGUGCCUUGUACAACUUACAAGUCAAACCAAUUGCUCAUAAAUACAUGGGAAAAACAGGUUUGUCAGGGGCCUGAGGAUGUGAGUGCCCUGUUUCUCAGCUCUAGGGCAGCAGCAGCCAGACCUGUACCAGUCCACUCCAACUUGUUUUCGAAGGUCUGUAAUGAUGAGGGUUGUAUAAUAACACAUACAGUGCUUCAUUAGCCUUACUUAUUAGAAAGCUUCUACCAUUUAAAAUAUAACCCUAGAUUGUCUCUUCCCAUUUACCACAGACUCGCAGAGCAGCCUUUUUUCUUUGUGCUAUGCCUCCUUUCUCCCUAUGUAACUGAAGACUGUUAUCAAUGCUCCCCCUCUAAGACAAAAUAAACAACCCAGUUCAUGACAUCUGAUCUCCUCCCUGGGUAGAUCUGUAUCCAUACCAUUUGUUCCCUGACCAGAUGCAUGGAGGUCACAAAGCAAAUGCAACAGUCUGUUCUUUGGAGACCUUAAUGCACAUGCCACAUUCUGCCAGAUUUUCCCUGGGUUCAGAUAUUUGAUAUACAAGCAGCUAUAACAUGUGCCUACAUAAUAUUUCAAAUACCUGUAUGAAUUAGCUUGGCUUUACCCCAGUAAUUAAAAUCAGUUUUAUUCUGCCAGUGUGAGAGGGACUGUAUAAAUCACAUUUAAAUCAGCAGAACAAGCUUGUUACUUUACACUGCUUUACGGAGGAAGUUGUUUCCUUAAAACCUGACUUUGGCAUGUUUAAGUCUGUGAGCCACUGGCACAAACACCUCAGAGGCACCACAGAAGAUAAGAAUCUAAUGCAUUUUUAGAGAUCCAUUAGAAGAUGCU